GAAUUGCAUUUACCAUCACAUAGUGUCUUUUAAAAAAUAACUGUGCAUAUACUGUGUUUCUUUGAGUGCCUUUCUUACUUUUCGCUGAAGCAAGAUUAUGUUUAAGUUUAAUUAACCUUUAAGUAAAAAUCAAAGGGUGAAAAUUUUAUUAAACGAUUGAUUAUUUUAUUUAUUCCAACUGCUAGACAUGGUCUAGUGGAAUAUUUUAUCCUUAAGUGAGUUACUGAUAUGAGCAAGAAGGAUGUUUUGGUUUGCAUU
rnacentral:lncRNA from 1 species